UGUACUGGAAAUGCUAAAUCAUAGUGUUUACAAAACUGCGCCAAAAAUAGUUCAUACGCAUUAUUCGCGUCUUGUGAUUGUAAUAUAAGGUUCCAAUCAUGGUUGCAUAUGAAUCUUCUAGUGGGGAAUAUUUAUCAAGUAUAAUGUCGCAAACUCUGGGUACAUUGAACAUUGAUAUAUUAAAGUGUGUCGGUUAUGCAACAGGCGGAGCUUCCAACAUGAAUGGAGAAUACAAAGGAUUCGCAGCAUGGAUGUUCAAAGAAAAUCCCAAUCAAAUACAUGUUUUGUAUUAUGCUAACGUUCUUAAUUUGGUCAUGUCAGAUGUUUGUAGUACGUCCCUUACAAAAAAACCCAGCGAACUUCCAGCGAAAGUUCGCUGGAAAUUAAAAGAUCACUGGAUUUCCAUGGAAACAAAAGACUUCGCUGGAAGUUCGCUGGAAAUCCAACGAAAAACUUCCAGUGAUCUUAAAGUUCGCUGGGUUUCUUGCGAAAUAUUUCGCCGUGAUGUAAAAAGCGUUGCUGUUACAACUUCUGCAAGCAGUUAAAACUUGGAAAAUUGAUAAUAUAGCUUCUUAAAAUAAUAUUUCAAAUUUUUGUAUAAAAGUAAUCCUUUUUAUUUUAUUUUUUGCAUCUAGUAGAUGAUCUAUAGUGUGAGUUUCAAUUAUUAUUAGUUCUACUCAAGUUACAAAACAAAAUCAUCUGAAGACACUGUACUGUUGUAAAUAAUCUUUUAUCUGCAAUCAGUGUGCCAAGCAAUAUAAGACAGACUCGAUGAUCAUUAAGUUGUAUAAAGCAUUGGAAAGG